GAGGAAGGGAGGGAUGGACUGGGCUGAGCUUCCAUGGGGCACAACCUCUGCCAGCAGCAAAGCCUCUCCUUUUGCUGGGCGCUUUCUCUGCCUGUGAAAGAAGCCUUUCAGCGCAGCAGCUCUGCAGAGCCGAGCCCAAAAUACAGCUGAGGAAGAGACAGGUUGACAGACUGCUCCUGGAGAAGUUUAUCCGAGGUGCACAAAAGAAAGAGCAGCAUCCCUGAAACGGGAAAGAAAGGUUGGAAGAAGGAGAAGCAGCUGAAGACACGAAGGAAGAUGUCCCCAAGGAGGAAAGGCUGCUCCCAGUGG